CCCACUCCACCCACCACUGUUUCUCUAAAAAAAAAACACACCCAACCCUCGAUCCAGAUCCCUUCCACCUCCUCUCUUCUCCCCCGAUUCAACCCUCGUCUCCCUCCCAUCCCACGCCGCCGCCGCCGCCCACCACCCCGGCGACCUCCCCACCGGCGAUCCCCAGCCUCUCCCUCUCCUUCUCCCCUGCAUCCGUCGCCCGCACCUUCCCUCCCAGUCCCAGAUCACCCACUCGCUGUCGCUGGUCACCCACUCGCUGGACGCUCCUAGGCUCCUAGGUCACCCACUCCCCCACCCAGCGCCGCCGCGGAGAGGGAAUUGGGCGAUGGCGAUGUCGAUGUCGGCGGCCACCCGCGCGAUGCGGCGCAUCCACGCGCGCCGCACCUCCGCCUCCUGCCUCCUCCGCUCCGCCCGCCCGGACCCCAACCCGGCGGUGCUGCAGGGCCAAGCGCCCGUGCCCCGCUGGUACUGGGGAGCCGCCGCGGGCGCCGAUCCGCCGUCGACCCAAGCGCACCUUGGCGUGGCCACAGUGCCGCAGCGACAGGUGUUCGUGGUCGAGCGAUUCUGCCAGUACCACAAGAUCCUGCCCACUAGGGUUCACUUCCUCGUGCCUGUGCUUUUCUUGUGUUACUAGUGUCCGGCCAGAAUUAGUAAGGUGUGAUCAACGUGGCCUAUAAUUAGAUUAUUAGGAAAAAUACUAACUUGAGUCCGACUAGGACUUGUCCUAGCUAUCUAGCUGCGUUGGUAGGAGUAUAAUACCAGGAUUAGGAAUUUGUAGUCCAAGUCGGUUAAUAGGCGAGUCUGAUUUGACUAGCCUGUAUCCACUGGUGUAGCCUAAAUUUGAUAAGAUGCUUUUAGGCCAUAGUGUAGCCUAAACAUGCUCCUGCUUGCUCUUGCUAAACAUUAUAUAUUUUCGGAUGAAUUAUGAUUAAAAUUUGUUGCUUUUACACAGUUUGGGGCUGCUCGAGUGGAUGCGUGCUAAAUCGUAAAAGAAAAGAAGUGAAUAACUGAAUAUGAUAGUAGGUGUUGAACAUUGCUUUAUCCAAUGGCGUGUGAGUUGUGUCAAACAAGUAUAUUAUAGCUAGCCCUUAUAUAUAGAUAUUCCAUGUUAUUACCACUCUCCAGCUUUGUUCUACAAUCUAACAUCUAAUAAUUUCAUCAUGUAGAUGAAACCAUCGGAGGUCAAGAUGAAAAUUGACAUGUCCGCGACGUGUCCUCCAUCAGCUAUGCGGGCACAUGCAGACACAGGGCUUGCAAGGCUGAGCACCAGGCGAAUACUGGCAGGGAACUAGAUGGCGACUAGCAGGGCACGACAGUGCAGCGACCGGCUGCAGGGGAGUAGUGCAACAAGCGAAGGUACAAUGGCAGGUUGUGGUGACGGCCAACCGCAGGUGACUGACGAUGCUAGAAAUAGGCACAACAAUGUCAGGUUGUUGCAUAAUCGAGUAACAUACAACUAAAUAAUUUUGUUUCCCUUUUAUCUCAGCGUUUGUAUGUAGCUUUGCGUUAAAGCAAGCAAAUAUAGUAAAUGAAAAAAAAACUGUGUUUCAGCGGCACCAAAAUAAAUCUGCUGUUUACAUUAAAAAAAUGCGAUCGGAGUUGGUAGUUCUUCUUAUGAUGCCCAAAUUGUUAUGCAGUGUAAUGCAAUGGGACCAUAAGAAACAUCCAAGCUAAAGAGCUUUAUAUAUUGUGAUCGGUUAGUCUUAGUUCUUUCUGAAGUUCUUGAUUUUUCUUGAACUGAAUAUAUCACCUUGUCUUUGUUUGUUACAGUACAGUGAAGUUGGCAACAAACUACCAAGUCUUCUUCGGAUAUGUUUUUAAUAUAAAGAGAGGAAUCAAGGCCAAUUAUUCAUGGUGGUAGAUAAGUAUUUCUGUAGCUAAAGACUAGAGAACUGCAAUAUAGUCGCACCGGUACUUAUUCAGAUUAAAACAUCAUGAUUUCUUGGCUCCAGUUUACUAUAUUAUUUACCAAUAGUUAGUAUGACUACUUCAUUUCACAAUUAAAUAGUGGACAGAAGCUUUUAUAUAAAUUAAAUAACACAUGCACGCUGCCAGAUAACUGCAGUAGUGUCAACUUAAUUUGGAUGGAUUUGAAAGGAAAAACUUCAUUCAGGUAACUAUAAUAUUGUCUAUAAUCAUGGAUAUUAAUUUUUGUUGGGCGUAUGGUCCUUCUUAAGUAGUACAUGGUGCCAAUAAAACUUUAUUUUGAGCUUCGACUAAAGAUCUAGUCAUGUCUAAUAGAGUUCACAAUCUUUACUUUGAAGAUCUGUAGCUAGACGUUAGAACUGUUGACAUGCAAAUAAUUAACUAACUGCAUGUCGUACUUGAAUUACAGGUUUUUUGUUUUCAUCACUCCUUUGUUAUAUGGAAGAAGACUUCAUGACUUUGUGAAGCCACAUGAGCUAGGGGUUGCACCGCAGGAGCAUAGCGUGUACAAGUACUGAACAUUGAAGAUUGCAUUGCAGCUCAUCAGUAGAAGAUAGCGACAGAGUGCUGCAGGAUAAUGAGAUGUUGAAGCGGCAUACUGAAUCCAUGACACCGAAGUGCAAUUGCGGCAGAUUAUCUCUAUCUUUUCUUUUCAUUUUUCUUAUUAUCGAGUGAGAACAGAAUGAGGAACUGUGUGAUAGUACAUACAACAACUGUAGUAAAAAGAAACUUAUGUUUGCAAUUGUUAAUGACAUAGAUACUUGCAUGUUCUUUGAA